AGUAUGAAAUUCACUUUAUAACAAUAUAGUUUUUUAUUUUUAAGCAACAUCAUCGCACUGCUGCCCAGAAGACUCCCCCAGACUUCCCGAUGAUUUUGAACCUGGUACGCGUUUCGAAAAUCAGGCUCCACCUGAGUGUCCUGCUAAAGCUAUGGUAGUAAUAACACCAUCAGGUCAACGAUUCUGCUACAAUCCAAAUGCUCUGUGAAGUUACCUCGAUGGAUGAAAGACAUCCUCUCUCUCCCCGCUGUGAAGCAGAAACAUGGAGCUGAAUGACAACACGAUCGAUCGUUUCCAUGUUAAAAGUGACAGAGACAUUUAAAAGUUUGGUCUUCUCUGCUCUAUGUUGUUAGCAGGCACGAUGAGUGUUUGUUUUGUGUUCGUUAUACAAAAGUGAAGCCAAAAUUAAAGUUGUAGUACUCGAAAUCGG